CUAAAGAGUCAUUCAUGCUCAUAUAGGGUUGCAUAACAGGACUUUUUAAGAACUUGUACAUGUGCCAGGUCUUCAAACAGCUAUUCAAGACUUUUUUUUAAUUCAAGGAGUUACCUUAUCAUUCCUCGCCCCCAAAAGUAUUCGCUCACUUUGUUUUUACAGACGCAUGCCACUCAAUUAUUCGCUAUCCCAAGGAACACUCUGCCUGAAAGGGCUUAAUUUAUGAUGACAAACGAUUUAAAUUUAUUGUCCGUUAACUCAGUCCUUCCGGCGGAUUAAAAUCCAAAUGGCAACUCCGUGGGGUGGGGGGAGAGAAAUCACAAUUUACUGCGCAUCAACAAGAUCGUGCUGAGACGUUGAGAAAGCGACUCCCGCCCUAAUUUACGGCAUAAUAACUUCGACUGCUCCACACUAAAGCUACUUCUCGGUUUAAAAUGUGACCACUAAAAUCUCAAUUAAGAUACUUUGAAGACUGUAUCUGUACUAUUUUCUGUCAACAUGAAAGAUACAAAAGACCUAAGUGAAAGAAGAGAUAAUGGGAACUGCAGAUGCUGGAGAAUCCAAGAUACUGCCAUAUCUGAUGAAUUUUUCCAGUGUUUUCUGUGUUUGUUCCAUAAAUCCACGGUCUGGAAGUAUGUGAUAUCCAUCAGCCAACACGCCUGGCGCCCCUCUCUACCAACUGCCCUCCAAUUUUCCCAGUAGAAGGGAAGUCUAUAGCUUUUUGGCUCUGACCAAACAUUGACAAUUUUCUUUUUUGGGUGUCACUUUUUAAAGUUCUUCUCACUGUUGUAAAUUGAAACAUAUCUUCAUUUGAUUUAUGGAAUUUUAAACUUAUGCUUAGCAACCAUUCCAAACAGCUCUGUUCCCUUGCACAGAUCUUUACUUCUUGCCCAUGGUUUCAUCUGAGGCCAUGAAGGAUGCUACAUAAAUGCAAGUCGUCCUUUA